UACGGAGGGUGCGAGCGUUGUCCGGAAUCACUGGGCGUAAAGGGCGCGUAGGCGGCUUGGGAAGUCCGUGGUGAAAGCCCGAGGCUCAACUUCGGGUCGGCCAUGGAUACUCCUAAGCUCGAGUCGACUAGAGGCUAAUGGAAUUCCGGGUGUAGCGGUGGAAUGCGUAGAGAUCCGGAAGAACACCGGUGGCGAAGGCGGUUAGCUGGGGUCGGACUGACGGCUGAGGCGCGACAGCGUGGGGAGCAAACAGGAUUAGAAACCCCG
rnacentral:rRNA from 1 species